rnacentral:snRNA from 1 species
GCUCGCUUCAGCAGCACAUAAAAUUGGAGCGAUACAGAGAAGAUUAGCAUGGCCCCUGCAGAAGGCAUUUUUUUUCAUAGAUUCUUUCCACUUAAUA